rnacentral:rRNA from 1 species
AACGAACGCUGGCGGCCGGCUUAACACAUGCAAGUCGAGCGCCCCGCAAGGGGAGCGGCAGACGGGUGAGUAACGCGUGGGAAUCUACCCAUCUCUACGGAAUAACGCAUGGACACGUGUGCUACUACCGUAUACGUCCUUCGGGAGGAAGAUUUAUCGGAGAUGGAUGAGCCCGCGUUGGAUUAGCUAGUUGGUGGGGUAAAGGCCUACCAAGGCGACUAUCCAUAGCUGGUCUGAGAGGAUGAUCAGCCACACUGGGACUGAGACACGGCCCAGACUCCUACGGGAGGCAGCAGUGGGGAAUAUUGGACAAUGGGCGCAAGCCUGAUCCAGCCAUGCCGCGUGAGUGAUGAAGGCCCUAGGGUUGUAAAGCUCUUUCACCGGUGAAGAUAAUGACGGUAACCGGAGAAGGAGCCCCGGCUAACUUCGUGCCAGCCGCCGCCGUAAAAC